rnacentral:misc_RNA from 1 species
AAACACUAUGUGCAACUACAUCUGUUUCUGGUGGUUUUUGUGUAUUUCUCUCUUGCCCGGUGCUCCCGAACGUCAAAUUUGUGUCGAUGUUCACUCAAGCAUGGGUAGAAAAUGGCAGGAGGAGAUCGCAGCCACCGAAUGACCAAUCAACUUUUUGUAUUUUUUUUUGUCUGAAUCAUUCACAUUUUGUGCAAUGAAAAACAAUUUUUAACAACGGAUCUCUUGGUUCUC